AGUGAACGCUGGCGGUAGGCCUAACACAUGCAAGUCGAACGGCAGCACAGUAAGAGCUUGCUCUUACGGGUGGCGAGUGGCGGACGGGUGAGGAAUACAUCGGAAUCUACUUUUUCGUGGGGGAUAACGUAGGGAAGCUUACGCUAAUACCGCAUACGACCUACGGGUGAAAGCAGGGGAUCUUCGGACCUUGCGCGAUUGAAUGAGCCGAUGUCGGAUUAGCUAGUUGGCGGGGUAAAGGCCCACCAAGGCGACGAUCCGUAGCUGGUCUGAGAGGAUGAUCAGCCACACUGGAACUGAGACACGGUCCAGACUCCUACGGGAGGCAGCAGUGGGGAAUAUUGGACAAUGGGCGCAAGCCUGAUCCAGCCAUACCGCGUGGGUGAAGAAGGCCUUCGGGUUGUAAAGCCCUUUUGUUGGGAAAGAAAAGCAGCAGGUUAAUACCCCGCUGUUCUGACGGUACCCAAAGAAUAAGCACCGGCUAACUCCGU
rnacentral:rRNA from 1 species